GGUCGCCGCUAGUCUAAAGUACAAGCGGGCCGUUUACGCAUAACGAGCCUUCAGGGAGGGGCGUCGGAGAGCAGGCCUGAGAAACAGCCUGCAUAUCUAUGGAUAGCAACAGUCGCGAAACGUUCCCCAUGCGCGCAGCGCGAGGACGUGACAGUGCGUACCUUAAAGCGGCCCUUUGGGUCGCUUCAGGGAAUGACUCUGCAUUAAAACUGCAGGGGAGGACCUAGUCGAGGGACAGUCUGGUGCCAGCAGCCGCGGUAAUUCCAGCUCGACGAGUGAACAUCAAUGUUGCUGCAGUUAAAACGCUCGUAUCCCGAACUGUACGCGUCGCGCCGCGCCUUGUCGUCGAAAGACGGUUCGGUGCGGUGACGGCGCGUUUAUGUCGCUGCUUUUCCGGGCGGGCCCUCAAAAGCUCGUUCGGGGCGCGACGCCGGCACUGUGACUAAAAGGAAGCGCUUCAGGCAGGCUUUUUGCUUGAACCUCCGUCAUGGGAUGACAUCCAUCACUCUGAUUGGAAUUCGUUGGUUAUCCAAAUAGAGUAUUACUCAAUAGGAACGGUGGGGGCCAUCCGUACCGCGCAGCUAGAGGUGAAAUUCUUUGAUUUGCGCGAGACGAACCACAGCGAAGGCAUUUGGCAACGACGUUUCCAUUGGUCAAGAACGAAAGGAGGGGGAGCAAAGGUGAUCAGAUACCAUCGUAGUCCCUCCCGUAAACGAUACCGACUCGGGAUCUGGCGUCGUUGUCUUCGACUCGCCGGGCACCGUAUGAGAAAUCAAAGUCUUUGGGUUCUGGGGGGAGUAUGAGCGCAAGCUUGAAACUUAAAGAAAUUGACGGAAGGGCACACCAGAGGUGGAGCCUGCGGUUCAAUUUGACCCAACACGGGGAAACUCACCAGGUCCAGACAUAGCGAGGAUUGACAGUUUGAAAGGACUUUCUUGAUUCUAUGGGUGGUGGUGCAUGGCCGUUCUUAGUUGGUGGAGUGAUCUGUCUGGUUGAUUCCGAUAACGAACGAGACGGGAGCGGGCAGUUUUGCCCCGCGUUUCUCGCGAAACGCGUGGGCGUACUUCUCGGACAACUGCCUUCUAGGCAGCGGAAGCGUCCCGCAAUAACAGGUCUGUGAUGCCCUUAGAUGUUCUGGGCUACACGCGCGCUACAAUGUCGAGUUCAACGGGUCUUUUUGCUUGCUCGAAAGGGCUGGCUAAGCCUUUAAAUGCUCGACGUGAUGGGGCCUGCGCUUUGUAAUUAUCGCGCACCAACGAGGAAUCUCUAGUAAACGCGGUUCAUCAGACCGCGUUGACUACGUCCCUGCCCUUUGUACACACCGCCCGUCGCAGCUACCGAUUGGAAGUCCUGCUGAGGCGGAGGGAUUGCCGUGGUUCGGAGCUUUCGGGCUCUGUUCCGCGGCGAGAACUCAACCGAAGCUAUACUUCUAGAGGAAGCUGAAGUCGUAACAAGGUC
rnacentral:rRNA from 1 species